rnacentral:tRNA from 1 species
AAAGUAAAUCUCAGGACUUCUAAUCCUAACUAUCCAUAAAGGAUUACUUUU